AUGACAUUUGGAACUCCCCAUCUUCCUUGUUCUGUUCCUCCUGGCUCUCCCAAGCUCCGGGCGGCCGUGACCCUGCUGGAGUCCGGGGGGGACCUCCAGCCCCCCGGGGGGGCCCUGCUCCUCACUUGCCACGCCUCUGGGUUUGAUUUUGGCAAAUUCGGGAUUGUCUGGAUCCGCCAGAGACCCGGGCAGGGGCUGCAAUGGGUCGCAGGGAUCAACAGCGAUGGUUCCAGCACCGGCUACACGCCGUCAGUCAACGGCCGGUUCACGAUCGCCCGGGUCAAAGGGCAGAGCUCGGUGACGCUGACCAUGGCCAACCUCCAGGACGAGGAUUCCGGAUCCUAUUUCUGCACCAAAACUCUCGGUGCUGGUUGGGGCGGUGCUGUUUGA